ensembl:lncRNA
AGGAAGGAGGUGCAUGCAGGAGUGCCUGCAUGGGGGGCGGGAGAAAGAGGCUGGGCACUUGCAUCACACUUCAGUCUCCUAAAUAGUGCCAGGUGAAAAAGUAAUUUAAACACUCUAUGACAGAGCCAGACUGUAACCCUUCAAGGUACCUCUGCAAUAUCUGCCAUCCAAGCCACAGAGUGAAACACAAACAAGUGGGAUAACAUCAUGGAUCACAUCCUGUACCUCCUGAGUAUGGCCCAGAUUUCUACCUCUGCGCAAGUGUUUGAUUUCACUGUUGUGCCAGGAGCAAUCUGGGACUCCAGUCCUGUUCCACAUGAAAUAAUGGAAGGAGUUGGAUGUGCAGUGCACAGACCACUGAGUUGCUGCCAGUGCCCUAAAAGGAGGAUGUGCUGUCUGAAGUGCCCCUUGCUAUUAGGUGGCGCUGCUGAACAAAUGGAGCAACAUAUUUUGGUGACAUCUGCAGUACAAACCUGCAAGCUGCAUUACGCCACAAAGCAUGCCAAGCUUCCACCAGCUUACUUCCCUGCUAGCAGUUUGCUCAGCAUGGAGCAGAUUCAUCCCUCUUACCGAGGUCACUAAGAUAGAUCAUGUCGUAUUGUGGGGAAGCAUCGUAGAUGGAAAUCUGCCAUGUGGAGUUCUACACAACAAGUUGCAGAGGCCACCAAAGGCAAAGGAGAAUCAAGCCAAUUUGCAGAGGUAAAGGCUGUCCAACUGGUCUUAGGUGUUGCUGAACGGGAGAAGGGGCCAGUGCUUCAUCUUUAUACUGACUCGUGGAUGGUGGCAAAUGCCUUAUGGGGGUGAUUACAGCAGUGGGAACAAAAUAACUGGCAAAGAAGGGGUAAGCCUAUUUGGGCUGCUGAACUGUGGAAAGACAUUCUGCCCAAAGGAAGAAUAUGGUUGUAAAGGUGCACCAUGUAGAUGCUCAUGUGCCCAAGAGUUGGGCUGCUGAAGAACAACAAAAUAACCAUCAGGUAGAUCGAGCUGCCAGAAUUGAGGUGGCUCAAAUAGACUUGGACUGGCAACACAAGGG